UACAGAGGGGGCAAGCGUUGUUCGGAAUUACUGGGCGUAAAGGGCGCGUAGGCGGCCUUCUAAGUCGAACGUGAAAUCCCUGGGCUCAACCCGGGAACUGCGUCCGAUACUGGAAGGCUUGAAUCCGGGAGAGGGAUGCGGAAUUCCAGGUGUAGCGGUGAAAUGCGUAGAUAUCUGGAGGAACACCGGUGGCGAAGGCGGCAUCCUGGACCGGCAUUGGCGCUGAGGCGCGAAAGCCAGGGGAGCAAACGGG
rnacentral:rRNA from 1 species